rnacentral:rRNA from 1 species
ACGCUCGACACCUACGGGAUGCAGCAGUGGGGAAUAUUGCACAAUGGGGGAAACCCUGAUGCAGCGACGCCGCGUGAGCGAAGAAGUAUUUCGGUAUGUAAAGCUCUAUCAGCAGGGAAGAAACUGACGGUACCUGACUAAGAAGCACCGGCUAAAUACGUGCAGCGGCCGCGGUAAUCUGAGCGGGCUGGCAAGGC